CCUCGCAUUCGGAGGAGCGCAGCGCAGUGCCCACAAUGCCGCCCUUCACCCUGAGACCCGACCUGGCGAACUUCAACCCGGAGGUCCCCAAACUGGAGAAGAGCAUCAGCGGCACCAACCCCACCCGCGACCGUCUGCCCAUGGCUGCCAGCACCGCCCUGCUGCUGCUCCUGGCGCUGCUGCCCUCAUAGCCCCCACGGGGACCCCCACCCCAUAGGAGACCCCCACCCUAUAGGGGACCCCCCCCAACCCCAUAGGGGAGCCCUGACUGGAUCUGCUGUGGGGGGUGAGGUGGGGGGGAAGGGGGGGCAGCCCUCCUCCUUAUGGCUGUGCUGCCCUCAUAGCCCACCCUAUGGAGACCCCCAAAGACCCCCACCCCAUAAAGGACCCCCCCACCCUAUAGGGGACCCCCCAACCCCAUAGGGGAACCCAACCCCAUAGGGGUGCCUUGAGUGGGACUCAUCUGCUGUGGGGGGGAAAGGGGGGCAGCCCUGCUGCUGCUCCUGGCGCUGCUGCCCUCAUAGCCCCCACGGGGACCCCCACCCCAUAGGAGACCCCCACCCCAUAAGGGACCCCCCCCACCCCUAUAGGGGACCCCCAUCCCCCCCAACCCCAUAGGGGUGCCUUGAGUGGGACUCAUCUGCUGUGGGGGGGAGAAGGGGGGCCAGCCCUCCUCCUUAUGGCUGUGCUGCCCUCAUAGCCCGCCCUAUGGAGACCCCCAGAGACCCCCACCCCAUAAGGGACCCCCCCACCCUAUAGGGGACCCACUCACCCCAUAGGGGACCACCAUCCCCCCCAACCCCAUAGGAUCGCCUUCCAUCCUCCAUGGCUUUCCCAAUCAAUGGGGCACUGUGGGCUAUGGGGUCUCUUUAUGGGGUGUCGUUGUGAGGUCUCUUUGUGGGGUGGGUUUAUGGGACCCCCCCCCGACCCCAUAGGAUCUCCUUCCAUCCUCUGUGGGGCUCCCGAUCAAUGGGGCGCUGUGGGCUGUCUUUAUGGGGUCUCUUUAUGGGGUGGGUUUAUGGGACCCCCUCCCCCCCAAAACCCCAUAGGAUCGCCUUCCAUCCUCCAUGGGUCUCACGGUCAGUGGGGCACUGUGGGGUCCCUUUAUGGAGUCUCUUUAUGGGGUGGGUUUAUGGGACCCCCCCCAAAACCCCAUAGGAUCUCCUUCCAUCCUCCAUGGGACUCACAGUCAAUGGGGCACUGCGGGGUCCCUUUAUGGGGUCUCUUUAUGGGGUGGGUUUAUGGGACCCCCCCCCAAAACCCCAUAGGAUCGCCUUCCAUCCUCUAUGGGUCUCACAUUCAAUGGGGCACUGCAGGGUCCCUUUAUGGGGUCUCUUUAUGGGGUGGGUUUAUGGGCUCUCUUUAUGGGGUGGGUUUAUGGGGUCCAACCCCCCCCCCAGCGCCGCUAUGGGGCCGUUUGUGGGAUUCUCAUCGUCUUCCGUGAAGACCCCCCAGCUAUGCAAACGCACGGACACUUUUUGGGGUGAAAAAGGGGCAAAAAGGGCAAAAAGAGACACACAAAUGGGAAGGGCCGAAAGAACCCCGACCCCAAUGGGAGCCUUUGGGGUUUUUUGGGGGGUUUUUUGGCCUUUUUGGGGUUUUUUU
rnacentral:lncRNA from 1 species